GCCGAGUUAGUUUAAUGGCAGAACACCUGUGUUACAUACAGGCUAUGAGGGUUCGAUUCCUUCACACGGCA
rnacentral:tRNA from 1 species